GUGGCGAACGGGUGAGUAACACGUGAGCAACCUGCCCUGGACUCUGGGAUAAGCGCUGGAAACGGUGUCUAAUACUGGAUAUGAGACGUGAUCGCAUGGUCGUGUUUGGAAAGAUUUUUUGGUCUGGGAUGGGCUCGCGGCCUAUCAGCUUGUUGGUGAGGUAAUGGCUCACCAAGGCGUCGACGGGUAGCCGGCCUGAGAGGGUGACCGGCCACACUGGGACUGAGACACGGCCCAGACUCCUACGGGAGGCAGCAGUGGGGAAUAUUGCACAAUGGGCGAAAGCCUGAUGCAGCAACGCCGCGUGAGGGAUGACGGCCUUCGGGUUGUAAACCUCUUUUAGCAGGGAAGAAGCGAAAGUGACGGUACCUGCAGAAAAAGCGCCGGCUAACUACGUGCCAGCAGCCGCGGUAAUACGUAGGGCGCAAGCGUUAUCCGGAAUUAUUGGGCGUAAAGAGCUCGUAGGCGGUUUGUCGCGUCUGCUGUGAAAUCCCGAGGCUCAACCUCGGGCCUGCAGUGGGUACGGGCAGACUAGAGUGCGGUAGGGGAGAUUGGAAUUCCUGGUGUAGCGGUGGAAUGCGCAGAUAUCAGGAGGAACACCGAUGGCGAAGGCAGAUCUCUGGGCCGUAACUGACGCUGAGGAGCGAAAGGGUGGGGAGCAAACAGGCUUAGAUACCCUGGUAGUCCACCCCGUAAACGUUGGGAACUAGUUGUGGGG
rnacentral:rRNA from 1 species